rnacentral:tRNA from 1 species
UCCCCGGUUGGUCUAUCGGCAGGGCCCGCCUGACUUUGAAUCAGGAUGAGCGAUGCAGGUUCGACUCCUGCCCGGGGAGC